rnacentral:rRNA from 1 species
GACGAACGCUGGCGGCGUGCUUAACACAUGCAAGUCGAACGGUGAAGCUCCAGCUUGCUGGAGUGGAUCAGUGGCGAACGGGUGAGUAACACGUGAGCAACCUGCCCCUGACUCUGGAAUAAGCGCUGGAAACGGCGUCUAAUACUGGAUACGAGAAGGGUCCGCAUGGGCACUUUCUGGAAAGUUUUUCGGUUGGGGAUGGGCUCGCGGCCUAUCAGCUUGUUGGUGAGGUAAUGGCUCACCAAGGCGACGACGGGUAGCCGGCCUGAGAGGGCGACCGGCCACACUGGGACUGAGACACGGCCCAGACUCCUACGGGAGGCAGCAGUGGGGAAUAUUGCACAAUGGGCGAAAGCCUGAUGCAGCGACGCCGCGUGAGGGAUGACGGACUUCGGGUUGUAAACCUCUUUCAGCAGGGAAGAAGCGAAAGUGACGGUACCUGCAGAAGAAGCACCGGCUAACUACGUG